GACGAACGCUGGCGGCGUGCCUAAUACAUGCAAGUAGAACGCUGAAGAGAGGAGCUUGCUCUUCUUGGAUGAGUUGCGAACGGGUGAGUAACGCGUAGGUAACCUGCCUGGUAGCGGGGGAUAACUAUUGGAAACGAUAGCUAAUACCGCAUAAAAUUGAUUAUUGCAUGAUAAUUAAUUGAAAGAUGCAAUUGCAUCACUACCAGAUGGACCUGCGUUGUAUUAGCUAGUUGGUGAGGCAACGGCUCACCAAGGCGACGAUACAUAGCCGACCUGAGAGGGUGAUCGGCCACACUGGGACUGAGACACGGCCCAGACUCCUACGGGAGGCAGCAGUAGGGAAUCUUCGGCAAUGGGGGGAACCCUGACCGAGCAACGCCGCGUGAGUGAAGAAGGUUUUCGGAUCGUAAAGCUCUGUUGUAAGAGAAGAACGGGUGUGAGAGUGGAAAGUUCACACUGUGACGGUAUCUUACCAGAAAGGACGG
rnacentral:rRNA from 1 species